ACACGACUCUCGGCAACGGAUAUCUCGGCUCUCGCAUCGAUGAAGAACGUAACGAAAUGCGAUACCUGGUGUGAAUUGCAGAAUCCCGCGAACCAUCGAGUCUUUGAACGCAAGUUGCGCCCGAGGCCCUCGGGCCGAGGGCACGCCUGCCUGGGCGUCACGC
rnacentral:rRNA from 1 species